rnacentral:rRNA from 1 species
AACGAACGCUGGCGGCAUGCCUAACACAUGCAAGUCGAACGAGACCUUCGGGUCUAGCGGCGCACGGGUGCGUAACGCGUGGGAACCUGCCCUUAGGUUCGGAAUAACUCCCCGAAAGGGGUGCUAAUACCGGAUAAUGUCUUCGGACCAAAGAUUUAUCGCCUUUGGAUGGGCCCGCGUUGGAUUAGCUAGUUGGUAGGGUAAAAGCCUACCAAGGCGACGAUCCAUAGCUGGUCUGAGAGGAUGAUCAGCCACACUGGGACUGAGACACGGCCCAGACUCCUACGGGAAGCAGCAGUGGGGAAUAUUGGACAAUGGGCGAAAGCCUGAUCCAGCAAUGCCGCGUGAGUGAUGAAGGCCUUAGGGUUGUAAAGCUCUUUUACCCGGGAUGAUAAUGACAGUACCGGGAGAAUAAGCUCCGGCUAACUCCGUG